CCUACUAUCUCCAUCUGCCACUACAUGUCUAGUCGAACGAACUUCCGUUAAUUGAUUAUGACGUGCUUGCACUGAAUGAGAUUUUAACACGAAGUGAGUGGCGGACGGGUGAGUAACACGUGGGUAACCUGCCCAGAAGCAGGGGAUAACACCUGGAAACAGAUGCUAAUACCGUAUAACAGAGAAAACCGCCUGGUUUUCUUUUAAAAGAUGGCUCUGCUAUCACUUCUGGAUGGACCCGCGGCGCAUUAGCUAGUUGGUGAGGUAACGGCUCACCAAGGCGAUGAUGCGUAGCCGACCUGAGAGGGUAAUCGGCCACAUUGGGACUGAGACACGGCCCAGACUCCUACGGGAGGCAGCAGUAGGGAAUCUUCCACAAUGGACGCAAGUCUGAUGGAGCAACGCCGCGUGAGUGAAGAAGGGUUUCGGCUCGUAAAGCUCUGUUGUUAAAGAAGAACGUGGGUGAGAGUAACUGUUCACCCAGUGACGGUAUUUAACCAGAAAGCCACGGCUAACUACGUGCCAGCAGCCGCGGUAAUACGUAGGUGGCAAGCGUUAUCCGGAUUUAUUGGGCGUAAAGCGAGCGCAGGCGGUCUUUUAAGUCUAAUGUGAAAGCCUUCGGCUCAACCGAAGAAGUGCAUUGGAAACUGGGAGACUUGAGUGCAGAAGAGGACAGUGGAACUCCAUGUGUAGCGGUGAAAUGCGUAGAUAUAU
rnacentral:rRNA from 1 species